GGCUGCAACUCGCCUACACGAAGUCGGAAUCGCUAGUAAUCGCGGAUCAGCAUGCCGCGGUGAAUACGUUCCCGGGCCUUGUACACACCGCCCGUCACACCAUGGAAGUUUGCAAUGCCCAAAGUCGGUGGCCUAACCAUUUGGAGGGAACCGCCUAAGGCAGGGCAGAUGACUGGGGUGAAGUCGUAACAAGGUAUC
rnacentral:rRNA from 1 species